rnacentral:lncRNA from 1 species
UUUCAAAAACCAAACAUCUUCUUUUACCCCCUCUAACUCUCGUGCAUAGCAAAACACCCUCAUUCCUCCUUUUUCAUCCACUAAACACAUAAUAUUUAGCCAUAAAAAUUCACUAUAAGAUGGUUUAAGGUGAAUACAUGCUUGGUGAACCAUAGGAUAUUACUUUGGAAGCUUUAUUCUCUUCAUAAUCUUCAUCCCAAAGCUCACUAACCUCUUGCAAAAUUGUAACUAAGUGGAUCUUGGUGCAACAAAUUAUGAAGUUUCAAGUUUACUAUGAAGACGAUGUCAUCCGUAUUUUGGAGGGUUUGAUCCAUAUAUCCCGUCUUCGAACGGGACAUAGGAUGCAAAACCUCGUUAUUUCAAAAACUUUAUUUUGAACAAGUCUUGUUUGUAGAACUUACAAACUUAUGUUGUCUUUUGCUACAAAACAACUUUUGACUUGUAUCUUUACAUUAUGGAAUGGAUGAACAUCGUGUAUGUUUUAUAUCAUAUAGUUUGUUUACUUACAUCGUAUGCUGUGGAAACCGAUCAAGUCACACUACGCGCUUCCGCCUUUGACACGGGUGUGACAAAUUACUUGCAUGGUUUACGGUGGUAAUCAUGUAUUGCGAACCGUCCUCGGACGGUCAACCCGCAGUCGUUGGUAUCGAUGGUCCCAUGUCGAUAAUUAACAUGCAUCGUUUUCCUCUGUGUAAUUAGGAUGCUUAUCUGCUAGGAAGCGAGGCUAGAAUAAAGCUCUAGAGGCCAAUGAAUAGUUGUAGGUUGUGGUCUACCUAGGGGUCUCUAGAAGCAAAUAAACAAUUGCCAUGGAGCCGUUGGAGUUGUCCGAUCCGGGGUCUAUGGCAUUAGCUGUCUGUAGAUCUUGUCCGGAUAAGUCUUAAUGACUUCAAGCAAUACUUUUAUUCAUUUGGGUUGUAAUAAUUAAAUCUGAGUUGUCGGAACGGAAUUUAUU